UUCCUAUAUGAAAUCGAAUAGUCUCUUCUUAAUUUAAGAAUUGAAUUUCUAUACAAUUCCCAACAUUAACCUCCGUUUGUAGAUGUUUGUGAACGGUUUGGGGAGUCUUCUCCGAUGAUAAACUUAUCUUUGCAUACGAAUAGUGGUCAUGGUGCAUAUGGCAUAGGCGAAACAAAGUUUUACUUGCUGCGGAGACCGGAGAUUAUGCAAGUUUAUUAUCUUGGAUUCUAUGUGCUGCUAAGGAAUUUCAGUAAAUUCAGAAUCUGGUGCCUGACUCUGGUGAAACCUUUCGAUGCUGCAAGAGGCAUGGAUUCAUUAGAAGUGUCCUCCAUUGGACUGGGUUAAGUUGAAUGUGGAAGGGUCAUGCAAACCAGGGUUGGCUUGUUAAGGGCAGUGCUGUCGAGGGUUUCAUUUCAAAUUUUGGUAUAUGCUCUACAGAGGGUGCUGAACUCGAGGCAGCGCUUGCAUAGGUUACAGGAGGAAUAUUGAACUGGAAUGUGACAACAAUGGUGUGGUGAAAAUAUUGGCAGCUAAUUAAUGAAAUGCCUUGUAGUAGUUUAAGGUCUCUGCAUUUGGGUAGUCAAGGUUAACCAUUUAUUUUUUAGA
rnacentral:misc_RNA from 1 species